AUACGGAGGGAGCUAGCGUUGUUCGGAAUUACUGGGCGUAAAGCGCGCGUAGGCGGCUUUGCAAGUAGAGGGUGAAAUCCCAGGGCUUAACCCUGGAACUGCCUCCUAAACUGCAGAGCUAGAAUCCUGGAGAGGUGAGUGGAAUUCCUAGUGUAGAGGUGAAAUUCGUAGAUAUUAGGAAGAACACCAGUGGCGAAGGCGACUCACUGGACAGGUAUUGACGCUGAGGUGCGAAAGCGUGGGGAGCGAACAGGAUUAGAAACCCCAGUAGUCC
rnacentral:rRNA from 1 species